rnacentral:rRNA from 1 species
CGUGGGUAACCUGCCCAUCAGAGGGGGAUAACAUUCGGAAACGGAUGCUAAAACCGCAUAGGUCUUCGAACCGCAUGGUUUGAAGAGGAAAAGAGGCGCAAGCUUCUGCUGAUGGAUGGACCCGCGGUGCAUUAGCUAGUUGGUGAGGUAACGGCUCACCAAGGCCGUGAUGCAUAGCCGACCUGAGAGGGUGAUCGGCCACAUUGGGACUGAGACACGGCCCAG